rnacentral:rRNA from 1 species
UUUAUUAGAUCAAAACCAACCUGCUUCGGCAGAAGGUUUGAUGACUCUGGAUAAUUGUUCCUGAUCGCAGUGCCUUGCGCAAGCGACAUAUCUUUCAAGUGUCUUACCUAUCAACUAUCGAUGGUGAGUUAUUUGCUCACCAUGGUUAUAACGGGUAACGGGGAAUCAGGGUUCGAUUCCGGAGAGGGAGCCUUAGAAACGGCUACCACAUCCACGGAAGGCAGCAGGCGCGAAAAUUACCCAAUCUCGGAACGAGGAGGUAGUGACGAAAAAUAACAAUAUGACUUCUUACGAAGUUGUGAUUGGAAUGAGAGAAAUGUAACAACUUUCAUUCGAGGAUCUAGUGGAGGGCGAGUCUGGUGCCAGCAGCCGCGGUAAUACCAGCAUCCACAAGCGUAUGCAAAAGUUGCUGCGUUUAAAAAGCUCGUAGUUGGAUCUGUUAUUGGUGUUGCACUUACCCGCCUGGUCCGUUUGGUUGUGCGGGGCGACAUUGAUAUCUUCCCGGUUGAAGGUGUUUGCUCUUAAUUGAGUCGAGUACCCGGGCCGGGCUAUUAAUUUGAGUAAAUUGGAGUGCUC